rnacentral:rRNA from 1 species
GACGAACGCUGGCGGCGUGCUUAACACAUGCAAGUCGAACGGAAACGCCCUGCUUUUGUGGGGUGCUCGAGUGGCGAACGGGUGAGUAACCCGUGAGUUACCUGUCCCUGACUUUGGGAUAACUUCAUGCAACUGGGUCUCAUACCGGCUAGGAGCUCCCGCUGCUUGGUGGGGGUUGGAAAGUUUCGGCGGUUGGAGAUGUACUCGCGGCUUAUCAGCUUGUUGGGGGGGUAGUGGCUUACGAAGGCUUUGACGGGUAGCCGGCCUGCGAGGGUGACCGGCCACAUUGGGACUGGGAUACGGCCCGGACUCGUACGGGAGGCAGCAGUGGGGAAUAUUGCAUAGUGGGCGGAAGCCUGAUGCGGCAACGCCGCGUGCGGGAUGACGGCCUGCGGGUUGGAAACCGAUGUCGCCUGUGACGAGGCGUGAGUGACGGUAAUGGGUAAAGAAGCACCGGCUAACUACGUG